GGCGCAACGUCCUGUAAGAACAGUGUGGGUGAACCCAACACUUAAAAGGCUCGGAUGAGGCUGCCUAGAAGUCAUGUGCAAGCUGAGAACUCAAGGACAAGUAGGAGGUGCUUCAGGUGAGAGGUAAAGGGAACAGGAGGUGGUACAGGCCAAGGGAACAGUGAGCACACAGACCCCCAAGAUGAAGAGCAUCAAAACCCGUAAUAAUGGCACGGAGACCACCUUUAACUUGCCGAGGUGUACGCAGGAGUAAUCUCCGCGGCCGGCACCGUUCUGUGACUCAGCAUCCGACAGAGCAAAGAAUACAACAGUAUUAGAGGAACGAGUCUCACCUCUGCCUCUCGGGCUCUCCAUCUACAUCUUCAUCAGCACUGCAGGUAGCACUGGAAUCAUUGUCCGACUGGGGCUCGGGCCUCUGGGCCCCUAUUUGCUGGGCCCCCACCAAGUCUUCAUCGCCAGGCUCUGUCUUCUCGCCAGCUCUCUCCAGGUCUCUCUCUUUGGUAUCACCUUCGACUUUAGACAGAUUGUUCUCGGGCACCCUCAUGUCAACAUCUACAGAGUCUGUUCUGGUAGUCGCGGGGAGGUCAAGAACAGAAGUCACUUCAGCACUGGGCUCCUGCCGGUCAACGUCCAUCGGCUCUGCUGCCUCUACGGUGAUGCUGUCAUUCGCCUGGGUCUCCGCGCUUUCAUUUUCGACGGGUUUCGAACUUGGCACUGCCGAGGAGGGAGACGCACCGGGCGCAGGUUCGGAGGUGGACCCGAGCUCGGCCACAGGUUCCGUGUUCCCUCGAGAAGACGCAUUUUCAGUGCUAUCUUCGCCGGGCUUGACAGCUUCAACUGGUGAAGGAGAAGGAGCACUUUCUGUAUCAGAACUAUUUUCAGCACCUUAAAGAUAAUGAUACAGCAUAAAAAUCUGAUAAUGGACAUGUUUCAGGGGUGGCAGAAGCCAUGCUUCAAAGUAGGUUUAGAAGGAAUGACACUCGUCGCAUGACCUCACCGAAGUACGCCAGCCACUGGGAAGCUAAAGUGUCUACAGAGCAUGAAAGGGAGAGAUCAAACUGUUUUCACCUUCUGAAACUGAAAGCGUAAAAGCCUUUAGUAUCGAAAAAUCAUUUACAUGAAAUUUGAAAAAUGAAGAAAGAUGGAAAAACAAAACUAAACAAAAAAACCCGUACGCAGAAAUGGUCCAUUUCAGUUUAUUUCUACCAGCCCAUUUCUGUGCUUUUCUUUAUACCCAGGAGGGCUGACAGUCCGUUCUAGAACAGCACCAUCCAAUAGGAACAUCAUGUACAAAACACCCAACGUGCAGGGUGCACUGGGGACAGAGAAGUGAAAAGACCAAACUGCACUCUAGAGGACCUGACAGUCGAGUGUCAAACGGACAACGAACAAUUAAGUACAUGAUGCAUCUGGAGGUCAUAAGCACAGAUACCCACUGCCAGAUCGCAGUUUGGUCAUUUGGAAAACAUGGAUUUACACAGAUUUUUCAAAUCUGGAUACGUUUCACUGUAUAUGAAAACAUCACAUGGUUCUUAUUACCACUGAUCUCAUCAGAAAAGUCUUUUGAGUACUGGGAAGACGACAGGCUCACGUGUUUUCAAGAAAAUGUCGACUAUGGAUCCAAGUCUGAAAAACCACAGUCUGUCAUUUUUUCAACUGGAACUGACAUUCCAUAAAAAAAGGGGAGCUAGUCCAGCCUGGGACUCGAACAGACGCAAAGUGCUUUCCCAGGGCAGAAGCGGGACACUUUGGGGUGGAACAGAAGGACUUCACACGACACUUCUCACUUCAUCCCACACACACAUACUCAAGGGUCAAGACUUAGUCAAGCGCAUUUUGACUGCUUCACUAAGGACAAGUGACACCGGCACAUUUGUUUUGAAACUGCUAAUAACGCUGGAGAUGAAGAGAACAGUGAGUAUUUAGCACAGCGGUGUCCUGCGGUGAUUCGUGCGAAGGCACGGACGUUCUCCCUCCCAACAACUCUGACAUCGUCUGUGCAAAUUUAACACGGUGGGGAAGAGUAAGUACCAUAUUAAUAUUUUUACAAAAGCAGUUCUGACCUCAUGGCAUCCUCAAAGAGCUCUGUGGACUUUGAGAACGUUGCAACUUCCUAGUUAAGGGAUUUUCCAUAAUUUACACUCUCUGGUUUUUAGUAUUUAUCUGAGAUUCUUUCUCUCUGAGAAAAUGGUUUUAAUAUGCCAAAUCAAUUCUUUCAACAAGGUCAAAAGAACGCCAACUAAACUUUUCAAUUCAAACUCCAAAAUGUUUCUGUUUUCCAAAUCCCAUUAUGGUCAUUCAAAAGUACUGAACUGCCAUUACUCCUAACACGAAUUUCACUCCUUGGACAGUAAACAGAGAAAAAGUCAACUUGUGGUGAGAAACUAGCAUAUCCUUUUACAGGUAAAUGCGAUAAAUAAAAAUACAAGAUGCAAAAAAGUUUCUCUCUCAACCAGUAUUUCAAGCUCGAAGACAAAGCAGAAACAAAACAAAAACAAAAUUAAAAAAGAUUCUGAUAUACUCACUUUCUGCUUAUGCUGCUGCAGAAGGUUGUCCAGGUUGUGUCGCCUUUUGUAGUUGAAAUAGAAGUUUUUACAUUGUGCUUCACUUUUAGUUCCCACCAUUUUGGCAAUUGCUGCCCAG